UAACUUCUAUAUCCGAGAUUAGGCUCUUAAUAGCUUAAUAUAAUGUAAAUUUAAUGUAGCUAACUACAAUCCGCUAGCCAGCAGAGAAUUUGCAUUGUGUCACGCAGUGCCGACCAAGGUGCACCUUAUAAUUAUAUGAAUCACUCUCCGUAGUUAAUUUGCCAUUGUAGUGCCUUAUCCGGAAGGAUAAUAGCUAAACGAAAAUGGUGUCGUCGACCAGACUGCCCCUAAAAAACAAAAUGAAAUCCCCAGUGCUUUGCUGCUGCCUUUUGCUGGCUAUAUCGUGGUCAUGGACUCCUACCGUGUAUGCCGCCGGUGAGCUUCCUCCGAGUAUUUGAAUGAACAAAAUAAAAUAUGCACGCAAAGCAUUACUCUUACAGUUCACCAAGAAUGGCCUCCCUCCCAGCCCCGCAGCACCAAAUGUGAGUGCUUGCCUUUCAUAAAGUUACAUACGUUGCAAACAUCCAUGCAUGCAAUUGCGUGCAUGAAAAUUCACCAUAGUACAUAAAUGGCGAAGUAGGAAUCAGCGGCUUGUUUUUACCCCAGCCAUAUUCACAGCAGAUAACGACUGAGUAUUACACAGAAGCCAGCUCAUUUAUGUAGCUACCCUGCAUCUGACGUUCUGUACUCCGCCGAUAAGGCAAAUCAUUCCAUCUAUUUGUUCAAGAUCUUUGUAAUGUACAAGUCCGAUAAAACAUGACUGACCUAAACGCAGUCCCAAAAGCUGUGUAAUGCAAACACGACUUGCCAUGGCAUGGGCGUCAAAGCCUGCAUCUAAAUGGUUAUAGAUCUAUUACCAUCGCCGUUUCUUAAACCCCCUUACCCUUAGCCUUUGUUUCCCUAAGAUCCUCUUCAGUCAAGACCCCAACUGGCAACCCCACCUCCUCCGUCUGUACACCUUUCCUUUUCUUUCCAAACACAUUGGCUGCGUGCUUGGAAAGGUUGCACACCACCUGCCGGUUGGUGCGUGAGCGUGGAAAUGGAGGACGUGUUUCGGGUCCUCGAUUGCGAUGGCGAUGGACUGCUGGACCUCACCUGUGUCAACAAGCUAGGCAACCGCUGGGCGCUGCUCACGACUAGGAAUUGUGAUGGAGACUUUGGGGGCAAUGCGCCGGCAGAUGUUUGCCCCAGAGUCUUUGCAGUUCCACCACCACCGCCGCCUUCAACACCACCUUCACCAACAUUCACAGGUUAGCAUGGCCUUGGUGCCCGAAGCCCGGGCUUUAAGGAAUGGAAUAUUUACGGAGCACUCUUCUGUCUGAGAGGACAUGCUGUGUAUGUUGUAAUAUUGUCGUGCAACUGCAUGCGGCACGCUGCCGUGCAAGUGUAGAUUUGUUUAAUGUUAACCACAUCGUGUCCUAGCGUAAGAGCUAGGGUCGGGUCCUGUGUAACAUCCAAGGGCAUGACCAAUAGAUGGUAGUACAUACUUACAUAGUAGGAUAGGGAUUUAAACUCAACCGGGGUUUUACGAACGGGGCUCAGUCGAUGAGCAUGUGGUUGUUCGACUAACCAACUAACCUCACUUCCUCCGUCUGUACACCUUUCCUUUUCUUUCCAAACACAUUGGCUGCGUGCUUGGAAAGGUUGCACACCACCUGCCGGUUGGUGCGUGAGCGUGGAAAUGGAGGACGUCUAUAGGGUCCUCGAUUGCGAUGGCGAUGGACUGCUGGACCUCACCUGUGUCAACAAGCUGGGCAACCGCUGGGCGCUGCUCACGACUAGGAAUUGUGAUGGAGACUUUGGGGGCAGUGCGCCGGCAGAUGUUUGCCCCAGAGUCUUUGCAGUUCCACCACCACCGCCGCCUUCAACACCACCUUCACCAACAUUCACAGGUUAGCAUGGCCUUGGUGCCCGAAGCCGGGGCUUUAAGGAAUGGAAUAUUUAUGGAGCACUCUUCUGUCUGAGAGGACAUGAUGUGUAUGUUGUAAUAUUGUCGUGCAACUGCAUGCGGCACGCUGCCGUGCAAGUGUAGAUUUGUUUUAAUGUUAACCACAUCGUGUCCUAGCGUAAGAGCUAGGGUCGGGUCCUGUGUAACAUCCAAGGGCAUGAAUAAGGGAUUAUGGGGAUUUAAACUCAACCGGGUUUGUACGAACGGGGCCCAGUCGAUGAGCAAGUGGUUGUUUGACUAACCAACUAACCUCACUUCCUCCGUCUGUACACCUUCCCUUUUCUUUCCAAACACAUUGGCUGCGUGCUGGGAAAGGUUGCACACCACCUGCCGGUUGGUGCGUGAGCGUGGAAAUGGAGGACGUCUAUAGGGUCCUCGAUUGCGAUGGCGAUGGACUGCUGGACCUCACCUGU
rnacentral:lncRNA from 1 species